rnacentral:misc_RNA from 1 species
AAGUCGUAACAAGGUUUCCGUAGGUGAACCUGCGGAAGGAUCAUUAUAAAUUUGGUAUUAACUACCGUCUCACUAAUGUGCACCUGAUUGCUAGUUGCCGUGUUUGUCGCAAGACGCGCGGCAGCUGAUUAUUUUGACUACCUUGUGUAAACACUAAUGUCUUGAAAUCCGUCACUAGCCUAGCGCUAGCUGACACUAAGGGUAAAUGAAAACUUUUAGCAACGGAUCUCUAGGCUCUC